AGUGGGAUAGCUGGGUCAAAUGGUGGUUCCAUUCCCAGUUUUUUGAGGAAUCUCCAUAUUGCUUUCCGUUGUGGUUGCACCAAUUUGCAUUCCCAUCAGCAAU
rnacentral:pre_miRNA from 1 species